GACGAACGCUGGCGGCGUGCUUAACACAUGCAAGUCGAACGCUGAAGCUCAGCUUUUGUUGGGUGGAUGAGUGGCGAACGGGUGAGUAACACGUGAGUAACCUGCCCCCUUCUUUGGGAUAACGCCCGGAAACGGGUGCUAAUACUGGAUAUUCACUGGUCUUCGCAUGGGGGUUGGUGGAAAGGGUUUUUCUGGUGGGGGAUGGGCUCGAGGCCUAUCAGCUGGUUGGUGGGGUGUUGGCCUACCAAGGGUUUGAGGGGUAGCCGACCUGAGAGGGUGACCGGUAACAUUGGGACUGAGAUACGGCCCAGACUCAUACGGGAGGCAGCAGUGGGGAGAAUUACACAAUGGGCGCAAGCCUGAUGCAGCGACGCCACGUGAGGGAUGGAGGCCUUCGGGUUGUGAACCUCUUUCGCUCAUGGUCAAGCCGCAACAAUGGUUGUGGUGAGGGUAGUGGGUAAAGAAGCGCCGGCUAACUACGUG
rnacentral:rRNA from 1 species